UUUGGAUUACGUACGUGAAAAACGCUAACAUCUACUUCCAGCCGCCACCAACAGGAGGGGAAAAAUGAUCAUAUGAUCGUGAUUUCUGUGCCUAGAAGUUUCUAAAAUAUGACAAUAUUUCUAGUUCUCUGUUAGAACCUGUUCAGGGUUCUAGGUUCUGGACUGUUCAUAUAAAUUCUCUACUCAGUCGUGUAAUAAAAAGGCUGCCUUUAUUUUUACACAUGAGAGGAACAAGUCUGCACUUAAUAGAAAACCACCAGGGGGAGCUCUAACCUUACAAAUACACACAGCAGGGAUGAAAACUUUCAGGUUUUUUCUUUGUUUCUGAUCAGUGCCAACAGCCCAAAUAAUUCACACAUGCAUAGAAAUCACAGCUGGUUACAGAUAAAUGAAUGAGAAUAAUAGCUGAACUUAGAGAAAUGUGUUCAAUACUUUUUGAAAAAUCUAUUUAACCUUUACUACCUGCAGCUGAGCUGACCUUUAACACGCCAACAUUUCAGCUUUUCUUCCAAAGCAGGAUCCAUUUAGUUGCAAUUAGAUUGUUUUUCUCUGAGUUGCUCCAUGGCAGCCGGCGGUCGGAUCAGAGACCGGCCGUCUGCCGAUCCACACGCUAAAAGUCAUCCUGGGUUUUUCCUUUCAGGCUCUGCAGCGAAGGGGUGGAGCUGCUGUCAAAGUUCCUGCAGUUUGAAGGGAAGAAGAGGAUCUCUGCAGACGUGUCCAUGAAACAUGCUUACUUUAGUAACCUUGGAAACCGACUGCUGUCGCUUCCUGACACUUCGUCCAUCUUUAGUCUGUCAGAGAUUCAACUGGAAAAGGAACGCUUGAGGCCGACGGCGGCGCCUGAUCCAGCUUCUAGCCCCGCUAGGAGGCGGAGUCUGCUGUUCUGACCCCUAAAGGAGGUGGAGUCAAACUGGGGGAGGAGUUUACUCUUACGACACCCAAAGGAGGCGGAGCCAUCU